rnacentral:rRNA from 1 species
AGAACGAACGCUGGCGGCAUGCCUAAUACAUGCAAGUCGAACGAACUCUUCGGAGUUAGUGGCGCACGGGUGCGUAACGCGUGGGAAUCUGCCCCUUGGUUCGGAAUAACAGUUGGAAACGACUGCUAAUACCGGAUGAUGACGAAAGUCCAAAGAUUUAUCGCCAAGGGAUGAGCCCGCGUAGGAUUAGCUAGUUGGUGAGGUAAAGGCUCACCAAGGCAACGAUCCUUAGCUGGGUCUGAGAGGAUGAUCAGCCACACGUGGGACUGAGACACGGCCCAGACCUCCGUACGGGAGCAGCAGUACGGGAAUAUGGACAAGUGGGACGAAAGCUGAUCCGAGACAUGCCGCGUGAGUGAGUGGAACGGUCCGUUAGGGUUACGUAAAGUCC